GGGAACUACGAGNCAAGCUUAAAACCCAAAGGACUUGACGGUACCCCAUAUCCCCCUAGAGGAGCCUGUCCUAUAAUUGAUAAUCCCCGUUUAACCUCANCGCUUCUAGCAAUUCAGCCUGUAUACCUCCGUCGUCAGCUUACCACGUGAGCGUUAGUGAGCUCAAUGUUAUUUCAACCAAACGUCAGGUCAAGGUGCAACAUAUGGAGCGGAAAGAGAUGGGCUACACUUUCUACCCAUAGACCACACGAAAGACUAACUAUGAAACCUAGUCAGAAGGCGGAUUUAGAAGUAAAACGGAACUAGAGAGU
rnacentral:rRNA from 1 species